rnacentral:rRNA from 1 species
UACGAAGGGGGCUAGCGUUGCUCGGAAUUACUGGGCGUAAAGCGCGCGCAGGCGGCUAUCCAAGUCAGUGGUGAAAGCCCGGGGCUCAACCUCGGAACUGCCUUUGAUACUGCAAGUCUCGAGUCCGAUAGAGGUGAGUGGAAUUCCUAGUGUAGAGGUGAAAUUCGUAGAUAUUAGGAAGAACACCAGUGGCGAAGGCGGCUCACUGGAUCGGUACUGACGCUGAGGUGCGAAAGCGUGGGGAGCAAACAGGG